AAAAGAACGCUUGCAUCAAUCAACACUUGAUUGCAUUCAGGCUUACACUCCCAUAGAAGAACCCAGAGCUCCUUGGAGAAAUGGCUGACUUUCUGUUGAGGAAAGAAAAGUACAAGAUGAGCCUUGAAAAUGCUGUGGUACCAGAAAACAAGGAAGUGCUAGCUGCAACAUUGGCCUUUUCCAUUCAUCCUUCAUUGAUAUUCUUACAGUUUCCAAUGCCCAGGAGUAUGGAUUUUUUUUUCUGUUCCACUUUUAUUCAGUCUGCCCCUUCCAGCAGCAAAUCUGUUGUUUUUUGCAAUGUGAAGGUUGGUGGGGAGGGUAGAUUAAGAGUAGGAAGCCCCCACUGAUGAACUGCAGACUCCCUCCCAUUAUUCUUACUUGGAGUUCAGUGAUGUGUCUUGAAUAAAGGACUUUCAGUUUGUUGUUUGCCUCAAUUUACCGACCUGGUUUUGAUAACUUCAUCAGGUUUUGUCAUUAAGUUUUGGGAAGAGAUUUUCAUGUUUCUCUCUCUGCCAUUCUGGAAUCCUCCCAGUCUGAGUCUUUAGUCUUUAUCUCCAGUUUCCUUGGCUGAAAUGGUCACACAGAACCUUCUUGACUGUCAUUUUUAUUCAGAAUGUAUGACAAAAUAAUGAUGGGAACAACUAAAAAGUACUUAAUUAGAAGAAAUCCAACAAUCAAAUUAAUUAUAAUAAAAGCAUCAUAUAUGUAAAAGGAAAGGCAUUAUAUUUAUCUGUAGGUUAUUGUUUUCUUUCAAUCUCAGCUUGACGGACAACGUGUUGGGCACAUGCCAUUGAGUUUUAUCUCUAGAUCACAAUUUCCUGAUAUAAAAUAAAGGUGUUUGCCUAGAUUUUCUUUAGACUUCUUUCAUUCAGAAAUUCUAUGGUUCCAUGAGAAAAUAGCUAAGAUGUCAGUUUUUACAACAAAUACGUAGGAAGCCUAAAUAAAUGUGAAGCCUAAAAUAAGUGUGAUGAAUGUGUGAAUUGCCCCUAACCUAGGAAGGAAGAGAAUUGUGAAUUCAUAUGACUAUGUGAGAAUAUUAAUAUCGUAAUCAAUGUCCAGUUUGAUUUGUAUGCUGGUUAUACAUAACUAGCCUUAGAAGGUCAGUCAUGAAAAAGGUUGUACUUGCCAGAAACCUUUUUAGUCAAGACAUUAUAAAAGGAGAGGAUGUGAAAAAUACUUAAAUUCUAUGUUAUAUGUAAUGACAUUGAACUGGCAGGAGAUAGGCUAAUGUAUCUUUUGGAUAUUGAAUCUCAGCGAUCCCCAGGCUGGAUAUUAGUAAGAUUUGAAUGUCAUUAAGUUGAACAAUUUUCCUUCAAAAUUUUGCUUAAAUGAAUUUAAUUUCCUUAAUUAAAGUUACUAAAUAUAAAAUCAUUUGAUAGUCAAAAGGUCAGAGGCUUACUUUAUUUUAAGAAGUGUAACACUAUUCAACUUGAAUGAUUUAUUAUAAUGGAGAUUCAAUCCAAUGAUUCAUUUGAGAAAACUGCAAAAAAUUAUCUUUGGUAUUUGUAGUCAUUCUUAAACAUUUGUACUUGAUACUAAAUUUGCCCUAGCUUUGGUCCCUGGGUUGUGACACAAAUGUAAUACUUGAAAAUAAUUAUUGUACUGCAUGCCCGAGACUAGAAAGAAGUCAAGUAUUUCCAAAUCAGACUCAAAAAGUGGCAAUAAUGAGGAAUAAAUGAUAGCUGCAUGUAUUCUCCACUAAUUUUCUAAAUAUUUCUUUUCACGAUACAGAGGAAUUAUGUGGCUGUGUAAAAAUAUAUCAUAAAACACAUAUAGAGUCAAUACCAGUCAAUGGAUGAAAGGAACAGAUUAUCCUAGCAAGCUAUUCCAGUAACUAGUCAGCAAUUAUUUAUUAAGUUCCUAACACAGGUCUAUCAUGUGCUAAGUUUGCGAUACACCACUGAGAAAAAGUAAAAUAUGCACAUGUAUAUAUGGUAAGUGAUUUAGUUUAGGUAAAAUCAAGAUAGUAUUAUGCAGUUUGGAUUAUCCAGUGUGUUUAAGGUGCACACAAGUUAUUUGGGAAUUUGUUGAAAUACAAUUCUGACUUAGUGAUUAUGGAACAGGAUCUGAGAUUCAGCAUUUCCAACAAACUGCCCUCUGAUGCCAAUGUAACUGGUUCAUGAACCACACAUUGAGUAGCAGAAGAUGAAGACUAUCUUCAAUGUUCUCCAAAAGAAUGACCCAACUUUUACAAUCAGAUGUUAAGAUACAUGAAUUGAUAAUCAUGUUUCUGAGGAACUGUUCUCGCUUCUUACUUAAUUCUUGAUGAAUCAUGUUUUAGUGAACUGAGAAAGAUAAUAAACAAUAUAUGAUCCUUCCACAUUAUUUUCUGAAUUUUAUAUUGUUUACUAUUUGUAUGUUUGGUUCUGAUCUUCCCGAGUUUGAAAAUGCAUUCUAUUCAGUCAUUGUAUUUCAUACUUACUAUUCAUUUCUCAAACAACUAGCCCAUUUGCUUUAUAAAUAAGUAUUAUUUGAAGAGGUUGAAUGUCCACCAAAUGCCAAGGAGUUUGC